rnacentral:rRNA from 1 species
UACGUAGGUCCCGAGCGUUGUCCGGAUUUAUUGGGCGUAAAGCGAGCGCAGGUGGUUUAUUAAGUCUGGUGUAAAAGGCAGUGGCUCAACCAUUGUAUGCAUUGGAAACUGGUAGACUUGAGUGCAGGAGAGGAGAGUGGAAUUCCAUGUGUAGCGGUGAAAUGCGUAGAUAUAUGGAGGGACACCGGUGGCGAAAGCGGCUCUCUGGCCUGUAACUGACACUGAGGCUCGAAAGUGUGGGGAGCAAACAGG